ACGUAGGAGGCAAGCGUUGUUCGGAAUUAUUGGGCGUAAAGAGCACGUAGGCGGCCUUGCAAGUCAGUUGUGAAAGCCUUCCGCUUAACGGAAGAACGGCAUCUGAUACUACAGGGCUUGAGUGCGGGAGGGGAGAGUGGAACUUCUGGUGGAGCGGUGAAAUGCGUAGAUAUCAGAAGGAACAUCGGCGGCGAAUGCGACUCUCUGGCCCGUAACUGACGCUGAGGUGCGAAAGCUAGGGGAGCAAACGG
rnacentral:rRNA from 1 species